rnacentral:rRNA from 1 species
UCGGGAAUAUUGCGCAAUGGAGGAAACUCUGACGCAGUGACGCCGCGUGCAGGAAGAAGGUUUUCGGAUUGUAAACUGCUUUAGACAGGGAAGAAACAAGACAGUACCUGUAGAAUAAGCUCCGGCUAACUACGUGCCAGCAGCCGCGGUAAUACGUAGGGAGCAAGCGUUAUCCGGAUUUAUUGGGUGUAAAGGGUGCGUAGACGGGAAAUUAAGUUAGUUGUGAAAUCCCUCGGCUUAACUGAGGAACUGCAACUAAAACUGAUUUUCUUGAGUGUUGGAGAGGAAAGUGGAAUUCCUAGU